CCUACGGGUGGCAGCAGUGGGGAAUAUUGCACAAUGGGGGAAACCCUGAUGCAGCGACGCCGCGUGAGUGAAGAAGUACUUCGUUUUGUAAAGCUCUAUCAGCAGGGAAGAAAAUGACGGUACCUGAUUAAUAAGCCCCGGCUAACUACGUGCCAGCAGCCGCGGUAAUACGGAGGGGGCGAGCGUGAUCCGGCGUUACUGGGUGUAACGGGAGCGUAGUCGGCAGGGCAGGUCUGGAGUGAAAGGCGGGGGCUCAACCCCCGGAUUGCAUUGGAAACUGAACGGCUGGAGUGCAGGAGAGGUGAGUGGAAUUCCUAGUGUAGCGGUGAAAGGCGUAGAUAGUAGGAGGAACACCAGUGGCGAAGGCGGCUUACUGGACUGUAACUGACGUUGAGGCUCGAAAGCGUGGGGAGCAAACAGGAUUAGAUACCCCGGUAGUC
rnacentral:rRNA from 1 species